AGAAUUAGAAAGGUCUCUCUCGGGGAAAGAGGGCGAACAGGUACUAUAUACCAAGACUUUUUGGUUUGUUUGUUGUGAGCGCAACCACGUGCGGUACUUUUCCAACCUUGGAGUCCACCACUUACAUCUGAACUCAUUUCACCACAAAAAAACAUGUCAAUUUAAGAUGGAAUGUUUUGAGUUAUCACAAUCUUAUGCAUUGGAAAUAUGCAACUACCCUCCUUGAUUAGAAAAAAAACCUUAAUGUCAACUUGUGUGAAUUACAUUAUAUUGUGAUAAAUCAA